GCCAUCAUAGCGCAACAGGUAGCGCAACUGAUUUGUAAUCAGCAGGUUGUGGGUUCAAGUCCCACUGAUGGCU
rnacentral:tRNA from 1 species